CAUGAGAUGAAUUGUCUCAUAUAAUUACAUACUUCCUGAUGUUCUUCCAAAGUAGUGCUUCAUCCCACACAACGUUGUAGUUGCAAGUACCUCCUCUUUAAAAGAGGCAAAUGCAAAUAAUCUUUGUAAAAAUUGUCUUUGGAGGAAUUGCCUCUUUGCUUUGACAGCUUGGUUGUCAGCUGCUGAAUUCAUCCAGAUCCAUGUGCCUAACACGGUAAGAGGUCUCACCAGCAGGGAGGAGGUGUAGGAAUGAAACUCUGAUUUCUAAUGGUGGCAGCACUCCAUGUGAUGAAAAGGCCAAGUGUUCCACUCCUGUCCUCUGUGACUGAGGAUCUUUCACAGCCUGGAAAUCACAGCUGAAAUUGUAGCACACUGUCAAGCUUGAGCCUGCAAAUGCUGCAGUCGGAGACUUGAAUUCCAUAAGAUCUCAUUUGGAUGAAUCCAUUUGCCCACUGUGGACCAGAGGCAAGCUUUAGGAGCAGGCUGAUCUAUCAAGGCUGUAAAAGUUCUGUGCAUCUUUCUGACAGCAGUAAGAAGUGAAGGGCAUGCAGCAGAGGCCUAAAUGACCAUAUAACAAAUUGAAGCAAAUCUGGAUCUGCGAGAUUGGUGAGGCAUGAUUUAGGACUGGGAUGAGAAGCUGGUGUCACUGCUGGAAAAUGACAUCGAGGACAGAUACCUCACUGCUCUUCCUUUUUGCUCUCUGCAUCUGGAACAGAGGGUGAUCACAGCAUUGUACAAAAGGGAAAUUCAAAUUUUGAAUUCAUUUUGGAUGUUGUAGGUUUCUCCCCUCAUAGGAGCUUUUCUGUCUCCAUUGACUCAUAGAAAGCCUAUGAUAUUAAUUGAUUAAAAGUGGUGCCUAGGACUGAUUAAUGCAGAUGCUUUUUUUGAGUGGCAUAGAACCAUAAUUUCACUGGAGAAUUUAAAGAUUUGGAGAGCUCAGGUGCUAUUCAGUUUUACCUUUAUCUGAAUAAAAUUUAAAGGUCAUUACA
rnacentral:lncRNA from 1 species